UCCGCAAAGUCCCAUCGCUUCUCCAGGUGCCAGAGGCCUCCCGAGUGUCGGCAGUGGCGCCAUCCCGCUGGGAUCCGCGCCUCCAGUGCAUACCAUGUGUUCUCUUCGACGGUCGCAGUCGCACACUAGGUGCCUGGAGCCUCUGGGAGCGCGGGCGGCGGAGGAGCCCCGGGGCGGAGGGUCCCUAGAGCUCCGCGGCCCGUGCGUCUCGGGGGCGGGAGCUGGGCCGGCGGGGGCGGGUCAGGGCGGGGGCGGAGGCGAGUCCGAGGCCCGCGCCAUUGGCCGCAGGGCCUGGCGGCAGGAAGGGACCGAGUGCGGCCCCACCCCGCGGCGGCCAGAGCCUAUCGCCGGGAGCGCAGAGCGCAAAUAAAUGUAGCGCGGCCGC
rnacentral:lncRNA from 1 species